UGAGCGGCAAAAGCUCAAAUUUGAAAUCUAGCACCUUCGGUGUUCGAGUUGUAAUUUGAAGAUGGUAACCUUGGGUUUGGCUCUUGUCUAUGUUCCUUGGAACAGGACGUCAUAGAGGGUGAGAAUCCCGUCUGAUGAGAUGCCCAUUCCUAUGUAAGGUGCUAUCGAAGAGUCGAGUUGUUUGGGAAUGCAGCUCUAAGUGGGUGGUAAAUUCCAUCUAAAGCUAAAUAUUGGCGAGAGACCGAUAGCGAACAAGUACAGUGAUGGAAAGAUGAAAAGAACUUUGAAAAGAGAGUGAAAAAGUACGUGAAAUUGUUGAAAGGGAAGGGCAUUAGAUCAGACUUGGUGUUUUACGAUUAUCUUCUCUUCUUGAGUUGUGCACUCGUAUUUCACUGGGCCAGCAUCGAUUCGGAUGGCAAGAUAAUGGCAGUUGAAUGUGGCUUCACUUCGGUGGAGUGUUAUAGCUUCUGCUGAUAUUGCCUGUCUGGAUCGAGGGCUGCGUCUUUUGACUAGGAUGCUGGCGUAAUGAUCUAAUGCC
rnacentral:rRNA from 1 species